rnacentral:rRNA from 1 species
UACGUAGGCAGCAAGCGUUGUUCGGAGUUACUGGGCGUAAAGGGUGUGUAGGCGGUUGUUUAAGUUUGGUGUGAAAUCUCCCCGGCUCAACUGGGAGGGUGCGCCGAAUACUGAAUGACUUCGAGUGCGGAGAGGAAGUGGAAUUCCUGGUGUAGCGGUGAAAUGCGUAGAUAUCAGGAGGAACACCGGUGGUGGUAGACGGCUUUCUGGACCGUAACUGACGCUGAGACACGAAAGCGUGGGUAGCAAACAGG